rnacentral:rRNA from 1 species
GAUGAACGCUGGCGGCGUGCCUAAUACAUGCAAGUCGAGCGUAGCGGGGACGGGUGAGUAACACGUGGAUAACCUCCUAUAAGACUGGGUUAACUUCGGGAAACCGGAGCUAAACCGGAUACUUAGAGAUGGAUCCGCGCUGCAUUAGCUAGUUGGUAAGGUAACGGCUUACCAAGGCAACGAUGCAUAGCCGACCUGAGAGGGUGAUCGGCCACACUGGACCUGAGACGCGGUCCAGACUCCUACGGGAGGCAGCAGUAGGGAAUCUUCCGCAAUGGGCGAAAGCCUGACGGAGACACGCCACGUGAGUGUUGAGGGUCGUCGGAUCGUAAAACUCUGUUAUUAGAGAAACGGUGCCUAAUCAGAAAGCCACUGCUAACUACGUGACAGCAGCCGCGGUAAUAC